AGAGUUUGAUCCUGGCUCAGGAUGAACGCUAGCGGCAGGCCUAACACAUGCAAGUCGAGGGGGAAGUUACUUUCGGGUAACUGAGACCGGCGUACGGGUGCGUAACGCGUAUACAAUCUGCCUUUCACUGGGGGAUAGCCCGAAGAAAUUUGGAUUAAUACCCCAUAGUAUAGUAGUGUGGCAUCACACAACUAUUAAAGCUUAGGUGGUGAAAGAUGAGUAUGCGUUCUAUUAGCUAGUUGGAGAGGUAACGGCUCCCCAAGGCGAUGAUAGAUAGGGGUUCUGAGAGGGAUGUCCCCCACACUGGUACUGAGAUACGGACCAGACUCCUACGGGAGGCAGCAGUGAGGAAUAUUGGACAAUGGUCGGAAGACUGAUCCAGCCAUGCCGCGUGCAGGAUGAAGGUCUUAUGGAUUGUAAACUGCUUUUGUAAGGGAAGAAUAAGGACUACGUGUAGUUUGAUGACGGUACCUUAUGAAUAAGCAUCGGCUAACUCCGUGCCAGCAGCCGCGGUAAUACGGAGGAUGCGAGCGUUAUCCGGAAUCAUUGGGUUUAAAGGGUCUGUAGGCGGGCUGGUAAGUCAGAGGUGAAAGCGCUUAGCUCAACUAAGCAACUGCCUUUGAAACUGUUGGUCUUGAAUGGUUGUGAAGUAGUUGGAAUGUGUAGUGUAGCGGUGAAAUGCUUAGAUAUUACACAGAACACCGAUAGCGAAGGCAUAUUACUAACAAUUAAUUGACGCUGAUGGACGAAAGCGUGGGGAGCGAACAGGAUUAGAUACCCUGGUAGUCCACGCUGUAAACGAUGGAUACUAGCUGUUUGGAGUAAUCUGAGUGGCUAAGCGAAAGUGAUAAGUAUCCCACCUGGGGAGUACGUUCGCAAGAAUGAAACUCAAAGGGAUAGGCGGGGGAACACACAAGCAGUGGAUUAUCUAGAUUAAUUGGAUACUAAGCCAAGAAUCUUACCUAGGAUUGACAUGUAUUGUGUCUGCGGUGAAAGACGCAUAUCCGUAGCAAUACGGAGCUUUACACAGGUGGUGCAUGGUCGUCGUCAGCUCGUGCCGCAAGGUGUCUAGUUAAGUCUGGAAACGAGCGCAACCCUCGUGUUUAGUUAGUAUGUCUAAACAGACUGCUCGGGUAACCGAGAGGAAGGAGAGGAUGACGUCAGAUCCUCAUGCCCCUUACACCUAGGGCCUCAUAGAUAAUACAAUGGGUAGGUACAGCGAGAAGCGAUACCGCGAGGUGGAGCAAAUCUUUAAAACUACCCCUAGUUCGGAUUGUAGUCUGGAACUCGACUACAUGAAGUUGGAAUUGCUAGUAAUGGCAGGUCAGAAUACUGCCGUGAAUACGUUCCCGGGCCUUGUACACACCGCCCGUCACACCAUGAGAGUUAGAAAUACCCGAAGCCUGUGAGCUAACAGUUUAAUAUUGAGGCAGCAGUCGAAGGCAGAGCUAAUGAUUGGGGUGAAGUCGUAACAAGGUAGCCGUAGGGGAACCUGCGGCUG
rnacentral:rRNA from 1 species